rnacentral:lncRNA from 1 species
UAUAAUUUACUACGGUCCAAAAAUUACCAAAUUGAAAUAUACGUAAAAAUGGAUUGAGAGUUAUACCUUCACCAAAGGUGAUCUUCUUGAUGGUUCCGGGGCCGCCAUCUCCUUCGAGGAUCUCGGCGCACUUAACUGCCUGAGGUGCAAUCUUGGGGAUGAGGUUGUCGGCAUCGAGAACGAAGGCCUUGAACAACUUAGGUGCUGGGAUAUCGGAGGUGAACUCGUUUUCAUAAGUGUAAACACCCAUGAUGAUCACGACUUGAGAAAUAAGCAAGCAGGGAAUAAGGAACUUCAAGGAUGAUGGUUUUAAGGGAGCUGUGUUGUGUUGGAAAUGUGUUAUGGGAAGGUGGUAUUUAUAGAUCUUCAGAGUGAAGGUCUCCCUAGUGAACUGACAAUACUGUCCCCCUGUAUAUGGAUCGAAGUGUGUUUUGAACUUUUGAUCAAUUUGCCACUUCUUAAUUCGGUUGUUCUCAAAUUCGCAAGGAACCUGAUUUUUUUAUACAAACUAUCUGUGUUAUUUCAUUCUUUAAUUAAUUAGUGGAUAUCUUUAGAUCAGAAUUUUUAAUAAAAUUCUGUGUCUUGGUCAAAUUAAGCAAUAACUACUGUAAUUGCUGAAUAAAAUAGACUCCAACUAGGUUGAGACAAUAUAUGCAAUUGCAGCAGAAAAUAAAAUUAAAGACUUUCUAGAUAUAUAUUGUUGGGAGCCAUUCUAAGAACUCUUAACUUGAAGACUUUUCAGUUUAUGGUUAAAAAGACAAAUUUUUUGAUCAUAUUUUGACAUCUCAUCCGUUCAUUUUUUAAGUUUAUAUAAGUAGAUCAUUUAUACAAAUUUUCAGCCAAAUUGGUGUUCGUUAAGAUAACAAACUAGAUCAAAUUAAUGGACGAACCAAAUCUGUCAAAUAUGAACCGUUCAAGUUUCUAAUUGAUAAAUCACACUUAUGAAUGCAUUAAUAAUUUUCAAUAUAGCUGAAAAUUUAGAGAAAUGAUCUACUACUCAUAAAUACUUAUAAAUUGAAUGGUCAAGAUGUAAAUAUAAGAUCGAAAGAUGAGAUAAACUGAAAAGUCCUUAACAAGUUCUCAACUUAAAAAUCUUCAUUAGAAGAGCUUUUAUAUAUUGUUAGCUAGGUUCAGGGUUUAGGAUCAAAGAAUAUUGAUCAUCAUCUAGUACAUAGUUUUCAGGCUGCUUUCAGUAAAUUUCAUAUAAGAUAAACAUUGAUGAGCUUUUUUGAACAGAACACGUUGCAAGAUUUCUAAAGCAUGAGAAAUAGUUGAAGUCAAAAAGCUUAAAAAAGAUAUGAAAUUAUGGAGAAAAUACUGAUAAGAAAGUAAGAAACUAUGAUGGCAACUAUGAUCGAACAAGCAGCUGAUUGAUAAAGCUUCUAUUUGCAGCUUGGUUAAUUGCCGACCAUAAUUCGGAACCUGGUAAUUAGCUUGGCUAGCUGGUAAUUACCGAGCUAGAAGGCUUUGAUCUUCUUAUUUCCCUUUCUGAUUUUUCUGGUUUUCAUUCUCUUCUUGAUAGUUCAAGAUUUGAAUGCUUCGAUUCAUUUCAACAAUGGCAGCUGGCGGUCAACAUUGGCUAUCCAUAUCUCUCUUUUUUCGGUUUUUUUUUCAUUUUCCUUUUUUCUUUGAUGCAGGACUAAACUGAUCGAUCUUAAUUAAUUAUUCUUUUAUUGUACGUGGAAUGCUUUAAAUUAUUAAGAAGUAACCUACAUCAACUGAUGGAGACAUUUUACUGUUCUUGGAUAACCAUCUUAAUUUGCAAUAAUUCACAAACCUAAUGGUGGCCUGAGAGAAAUGAGAAUACAGCUACAAAUUAAAAUAAAUUAAAGAAUAAUUAAAUUCAGUUUACGUCAUUGUGGUUUAGAGGUGAAUUUAUGUUAGUCCUUAAACUUUUAAUUUCAUCAGAUUACCUCCCGAACUCUUGUUUUUCUGUUUGCCGUAUGCUUCGUCCAAUUGGGACGUUGAAAUUUGAUGACAUUUGGGGGUUGAGAAGCUAAAUUACCAGAAAAACAAGAGCUCGGGGGGUAAUCUGAUGAAAUUGAAAAUUUAGGGACUAACAUCUAACAUGAAUUUACUUCUAAAUCACAAUGAGGUAAACUGAAUUUAAUUCUAAACUAAAACUUACUGACAGUGCUGCAUUAACAAUAUACUAGCCUUUUUUUACCAGUGCAUUUCUACGGGCUCACAAUUUCUUAAUAACGCAGUUAUUCUCUCCGGUAUAAAACACAUUAGUCAUUACCCACUUUUCUGUCCAUAAUUAUCUCUUUCUUUUAUUUAUUUUAUUUUUUUAUUUACCAUAUUAACCCUUAUUCUUACUAAUCUGAAUCAACUUAAUAUGAAUAAUAUUACCAGAACAUAAUUUGAUAAUUUAAAGACUGGUCGCUUUAUAGUAGUAGAGAUAACAUUAAUAACUAAUAGGGUUUGUGGAGUAGUUACAUUACCAAUUAAAUACCAUAUAAUAUAUACUUACAUGAGCUGAUGAUCGAGCAGUAAGAACACAAAGUGAUAACCAAUAAGUUAAAAUUUUGCCGAAAGCUGGAGGGAAUAAGAAAUUUCAAUAUGGAGAGAAACAGGAGCAGCCCUAGCUAGGCAUUUGGUGGAAUACAACGCACUUGAUCAACCAGUACGUAAUUCGUACUUAUAAAUUAAUCGAUCACUUAAUCAUCUAGUGGAAUAUAUAUCCAAUUGAAUAUAUACAUCCUUGAUUCCUUAAUUAGCCCAUACAAACUAUUGCUUUGUUUAUGCUUAAUUUGUUAAACUAUUAAUUCCUUCAUCAACUACUAAUCACGAAUGGAUCAAAGCAUUUUGGAAAAUCAUAUUCUACAACUGAAGUUGACGAAAUAGUUGUUGGGAUGGUUGUGAAUUGUGAUCAUAUAGUAACAUCUUCUAAUAAUCAAAGAAAAAUUACUAGACUGAACUAACACCGAAUUACUAAACUUGCACAUCAAUAAUUACUGGUGAUCGAUGAUGACAUGGUUUUUAGAUCGAUACUAGCUAGUUCAAUGAGAUGGUAUUUAAUUAUUUACGUUUGCUUGUACUCAUGUUCAUACAAAUUGCUUUCUUCAUUUCAUGAUCUGAUUUGGAAGAUGUAGAAAAAGUCAUCUUUAUCACAUGCCCCACAUCAUCGUCUUGAAGAUUUGUUUGUCUUUGGCUCGGAUAUUCCUCAUCGUCAAUCUGGAUAUCCCCAAAUUUAUGCAAUAUGCACUCGCCGGCCCUCUUCAUUUGUAAUUGUUAGGCUUUAUAUAAAGUAUAAAGUAUAUAUGAAUUUCAUUGCCACGUUUACAUAUCAUAUAUUUAAAAUGAAAAUAUGAAUGAUGAAGCUAGCUACAUCGAGCUUCAACUUAAAUCAACUUUUGCUACCCCAAUUAAAGAUUUUGGAACAUUAAUUCGGCAUUAUCUUGCUAAAUUGUGAGCUUGAAUCAUAUCCAUUAGCUUCAUGCAUACAAAACAAGAUUAAUAGUUCAAAGUCACAUUCGAUUAACAACAUAUUAUGCUAAUUAAGUUAUCUUUAUGAUCUUUAGAGGAUAUAUUUUGCCGAUGAUGGUCAUGAUAUAACCAAUUUAGUAGAGUCAAAUGACGAUUAUAUGAGUUCGUGUAUAUGCUCACUAAAUGUUGGUAAUGACGUAGCUGAUGCUCUGGUGAAUUUUGUUACAACUUUUGCUGGUUAGCCUGGUUUGGUUUGGCUAAACUUGAUUCUUUCCUCUAUUCAUGCUCAUUGUAACAGCGACCGAUUAGGUUUACCAAAAUUUUGCUUUUAGGAGUUUGCAUGAUUUUGUUUCUGAUUAUGAAGUUUGGUUGUGUCCUGUUUUCGUUUUUUAUUUUAUUUUAUAAAUGAUUUUAAGGUGUCAAAUUCAUUGCUCGCUUAGCGUGAAAAAAAAAAAAUCCCAUGAAAACAUUUCAUAAUUUAAGUGAAGCGCAUGGCCUCGUAUGGUCGUAUUAAACUGAAAAAUUAUGAUCUUUAUCUUUGCAAAUAUUGUCAAUGGACGGUUUUAAGGGUACUUAGCGGUAGUGGUGGGAAGGCACUAACUAUGUCUAUUUAGGUUAAAUUAAUCAAUCAAACUAUUAAUUAACGGAUGAUUUUCAUUAUUUUAGAGAAAAUAAUACCACAUUCAGAUCGUCCAAACAGGUCUAUAUCCUGCAUGAUAUAACCAAGUUCUUGGCAUUUGUCUCGUUCCAGAAGUAAAGCCAACGUUACUAGUAAAACCACACUUUAUCCGAUCACGUACAUAGAGGUAAUUAACACCCAAACAAUGAUCUUCUUGCAAGUUUAGAAGUUUAGUUGUAGUCGUCGGGAUUGGCCAAGAGGUAGCCUUCGACCAGCUUGAAGAGCUGAGACGCCUUCUCUUUUCCAGCCUUAACAUGCUCUUCUUGGAUCUCAAUAUCACCAAUGGUGUAGUAGUUACUGAUGCUCUUAACAAUGGAUCCUCCCUCAGCAGACUCCACCAAUUUGGUCUCGUAAGAGACUUUCUCAAUCUUGUGUUCAGCUAACACAUCUCCUUCGAUCAAACUGUAAUUGUACUGGAACUUAUCUUUGUCAAUCCCAUCGAUCUUGUGCGUUACAGAUCCAAAUUUACUGCCUGCAAAGAAAAAAAGAAUAUAUAUAUAAAUAUACAUGUAUAUAUAUAAUUAGGGUUGCUGCUAGAACUUUCUUCAUUUCAUCUGCAAUAUGUGCUUAUUCUUUUACUCAAAAAUUAAUUCCGGGUCAAGUAAGUGCAUUCAACCAUACCUUCCCCAAAGGUAACUUUCUUGAUGGUUCCAGGCCCUCCAUCACCUUGAAGGAUUUCAGUACCUUGGAUUGCUUGGGGUGCAAUCUUCGGGAUGAGAUUGUCCACAUCAAGGAUGAAAGCCUUGAACAAUCUAGCUCGUGGGAUGACGGAGGUGAACUCAGUUUCGUAAGUGAACACACCCAUUAUAGGAUCGAAAUUCUCAAUUCGAAACAACAACAAAUUAAGAUAAAGGUUUAACCCAGAAGAUUAGGGUUGGAGAGGAGAAUGCUUUGCAGGUGGUACUUAUAGAAAGAAGAUCGGUGAGACCAAUGUUUAUAUUUGGAAGCUGUUACUACAACUUUAGGAGAUACAUACUCGAUCAUUUGGUUUUAAGCAGUAGACAUUAAAGAGUCGCAAAAUGUGGGUGGUCUAUCGACUUCCUAUAUAUUUUGGUUUGAACUUCCGGUAGCUAGCUUCAGUACGUAAUACAUAGAUUGGAACUUGGUUUUUAAUUAACUGGCUCUUUUUCUACUUUCUUUUUUGGGUUUCAAGUUUUGUUUAGUUGCUUUGAUUUAACAAUGACAGUUCAUACGUACGCCCAGCUCUUUAAUUUUUCUUCGUUUUCUUUGAUUUAAUUUAGCCUAUAGAUUUUGAUCGACUUGGAAAGCCUACUUAAUUGACCACCAAACUGAUUAAGCAGCAUUCAUUAAGGUCGGAAAUUCGGAAAUGUUCUGUGGAGCCAAGACUUACUCUGUCAUUAUUUAGGAUUAAUAUGCACAACAAUUUGGAUUAAAUGGUGCUGGAGAAAGUAAUUUUCCAGAUAAUAGCAUAUUUUAUAAAUGAAAAAUAAACUAACGCUACUUACAAAGCCAGUUGAUUAGUCAUGAUCGACCUUCACCCUAGCUAGUACACCAAAUUUCGUCUUGAUGCAUCCAACAAGCUAAUUGUGCCUCAGAUCCGUCCAUGUUCAACAUUUCUAUAUAUAUGAUCAUCAAAAACAACUUCUCUCCCGGCCGAAUGAUAUAAGAAAAUACAAUGAAUAUAACAAUUCUUUGGUAUAGACAGUCCAGAUUUUUCAAGAAAGAGUGAGCUCGUGAUGAUUUGUAGGAUGAUAAUGCAGUUUAUGGUUGACUAUUUAAUUUGAAUUAUUGUCAGUAUUGUGUAUAAUGCAACGAGUGUAGUACAAUUCACUUGUUCUUAUAGCUAGCUAGCUAGCUAAUUAAUUUUACAUGCAACUAAUUAAAUUCGUAAUAGUUCGUCUGAUAUGUACAUACAUAUAUAUAUAUAUAUAUAUAUAAUAUAUAAUUACUUUNUAGUACUUAAAAAACUUUUUUUUAAGUUUUUUUUUUAUUUUUUUUUUUUUUUUUUUUUUUUUUUUUUUAACAAUGUCAAAGGAUUCUAAAGGAUUACUAUGCGAAUUAAUCUCCAAGAACAUGUGAAAUACUCAAAUUAUAAAUUGCAGCUCCGCCAGCACGAUACUUUUGACAACUUCGAAUAUAUAAUGUGAAUUGUUAGUAAAAUAAUUAAUUGAUGAUAAUUUUAGGAAUAUGCUUAAAUUAUGAACUCAUUUAUUUGUUAGUGGAAUUUGGCCAUCAACCUGUCCAAGUUCCUAGAUUAUAUAGAUCAUCUUUUUACUUAUUGGUAACUGAAAUUUUGAUCGCAUGCAUAUAUAAUGCAUUCACUUUAGAGGCGGCUUCAUUCUUUAGAUUAAUGAUCUGUCAAAUUCUUCUGACCAAAAAUAAUACAAGAGCACUGGAAUUUCAUAUUCCUUUCGUCACAUUUAAACAUCCAUUAUAAAAACUGGCAAACUGCCAAAACCACCUUCGGCCAGUCACACUGCGUUCCCUUUCACCCUAGUCACCCAUGAACCUAUAUAUACCACCCUCGCCCCUCACACUUCCUCACACCAAUACCAUAUAUUAAUUCUUUCUUACCUUCCAUAUAUAUAGCUGUCUUAUUUAAUUUCUCUGAUCAUCAUGGGUGUGUUCACAUACGAAUCCGAGUUCACCUCAGUCAUCCCACCACCUAAGUUGUUCAAGGCUUUCGUCCUUGACGCCGACAACCUCAUCCCCAAGAUUGCCCCUCAGGCUGUGAAGAGUGCUGAAAUCAUUGAAGGAGAUGGAGGUGUUGGAACCAUCAAGAAGAUCCAUCUUGGUGAAGGUUAGUCAAAUUAACUGUAAUAUUAUCGUCAUUAGUAAGUAGUAACUUGUUUGAAUUGUUUAACUAUAUAUAGAUCUCCAUGCAGUUUUGAUAACAAUGGUCACGUUUUCAUGUUACAGGAAGUGAAUACAGCUACGUGAAGCAUAAGAUUGAUGGAAUCGACAAAGACAACUUCGUGUACAGCUACAGUAUCAUCGAGGGAGAUGCUAUCGGAGACAAGAUUGAGAAGAUCUCCUAUGAGAUUAAGUUGGUAGCAUCCGGUGGAGGUUCCAUCAUCAAGAGCACCAGUCACUACCACACCAAGGGUGAGGUCGAGAUCAAGGAAGAGCAUGUUAAGGCCGGAAAGGAAAGAGCCGCUGGUCUGUUCAAGAUCAUUGAGAACCACCUCUUGGCCCAUCCUGAGGAAUACAACUAAAUCUGUUGAUCUCUGUGAUAAGAGGCAACAAGCCAACAAGCCAACAACUAAAAUGGUGUCAAUCUGCUCGAUCAUCGUAUCUCUUUGUUUAUCGGUGUGCCUUUCAUUUUCCCCCUUUUUUUGUACCAAACCAAAGCAUGGACUUUGGGGGUACAACAAUGCUGUAUUUGAUUCCACUCUAAAUAAAUGAAGCAGAAAAGAUUUAGUAAUUAUGAGCAAUUAACAAGUUUUGUUAUCUCUGUACGUAUAGAAGAUACUAAUUACUAUUCAAAAAAAAAGAAAGACGAUACUAAUUAUGGGGUUAUUAUUUGCUAAAUAAUUUGUUUAAUUUGUUUUCCUGGAUCACAUUUUAGUUCACUCUGAAGCAUCUUUCAGAUCGAUACAGUUGUAUGUAAAAAUACUUCUACUCAAACAACUGAUCAAAUGCCGAAUAGCUCUUAAGAACUUUUCCGCUUGCGUAGAAACGUAUGGCCUUUCUAAUGAGAGGGUUAUAUUUUCUUUUGUGACCAUUUUAAUAGCAUAUUGUAGCUGUGUUUCUCAGUUUCUCUCGGUUUCGAUUUACAACGCACAAAGUAAUAUCCAUGAUAUCUCUUACAAAUUCACAAUAUCAUUUCAGAAAGACUUAAUUUGCUAAAGAUUGUCGAUAAUAUGACCAUGCAUGUUAGAUGCACAACUAGCAAAUGAAUCAAAGGCUCGAACACAAAACCCUAUCUUUGCCGAAUAAGAAAAAGGAGAAAUAAAACCAGAACCAACAUUUUAUAUACAUGAAAGCUGCUUUGUAGUAAUUGCAACGACAUCAAGUAUCUAAAGCUCAUCGAUAUUAUCGGGUUCGGUAUAGCACUAAGGAGGGGAGGUUCAGCAGGGGGGUCCAGCAGGGGGGGUCCAGCAGGGGGUGGUUUUGCCUGUGUUUUCCAGCAGCAUGCUAUGUCCUCCGGCACAGCAGAAUUUUCCGAUAUUAUCCUUCUAGUAAUUUUUAUGUCAAAGUUGUAGGGCUGUUAUGAAAGUGUACAAAGCAUAUUAUUGAUGACUGAUAUGGACCAAAUAAGGCAGGCAGGCUAGCUAGCAGCCAGUCUUGAAUAUAUGGAAGACUUGAUGAUCCGACUUGUUCUAAACUCUAAAGAAGGAAAAGCCAAUAAAUCAAAGAAAAUUAAUCCAAUGUGCAAGUCAUGUUUCCUUUUUUGUUCUUAUUUUUCUGGCCAUUAAUAAUUUCGCAAAUUAAUUUGUCCCACAAUUUUUGUUUUGUUUCGGGAAGGAGGAGGGGGGCGGUUGGGUUUGGAUAUUCAUCAUCAUCAUCCAACUUAAUUAUAUUGAAUAAGAAAGAUAUCUGUCUCCACUUAAAUCAUGUUCCUACAUAAGAUCAUUAUGCAUCAAACUCGAUCGCCACCACAUGUAUAUAUACAGAUUGGAAUUGAUUCAAAAAUGAACUACUCUGUAGUAUAUAUAGUAAUUAAAAGUUUAAACUGCAUAUAAGUAAAACCAUUCCAAUAUCUUAGCACCUCACGAGUCACUACUUGGGUACGUACAAGAUCGAGAAAAAACUACCAACAAGUACGUAAGAAAUACACCCCGACAAUAACCCAUGCAAGAUCAAGUGUACACCGGCAUGCAUGGUACAAGAGAAUGAAGCUGAUCCAUAGCACGACAGAUAGUAAUAUUUAACACAUGAGAGUCCUUCUACUAAAAACUCUUAAGUUGAGGACUAGUUGAAGACUUUUCCGUUUAUAGUUUAAAAAACCCAUUUUCGAUCAUAUUUUGACAUUUCAUCCGUUCAAUUUUUAAGUUUAUAUGAGUAGAUCAUUUUUACAAAUUUUCAGCCAAAUUAGUGUUCAUUAAGAUAACAAAUUAGAUUAAAUUAAUAGACGAACUAAAUCUAUCAAAUAUGAACCGUUCAAGUUCAUAAUUGAUAAAUCACACUUAUGAAUGCCUUAACAAUUUUUAAUAUAGCUGAAAAUUUGGAGAAAUGAUCUACUCAUAAAUACAUAUAAAGUGAACGGUCAAGAUAUGGAUAUAAGAUCGAAAAGUGUGAUAAGCCGAAAAAUCCUCAACAAAUCCUCAACUUAAAGGUCCUCAUCAGAAGUGGUUCUUUUAACGCUUAGUAUCUGAAUCAUAAUUAGCUUUGUAUGAGCAAAGAGCAUCGGACGCAGGCAUUGCCUAUAAGCUGAAACUGCUCAUAACUAAGUUUGCACAAGCCAAGUAUAAAAGCGAAGUGCUCUUUUAAUUAGUAAUUUUUUAUCGAAAGAAUUGCACCAUGAAUCGAAUGAGUUUUGCUUUAUUCAUGAGAACUUGAGACAUUUUUAAUCAAUACAACAUUCCAAUUUGUAUACUAACUUGAUAUGCAAGCCAAAACAAUCUGAAAGAAAAAGGAAAUUAAUGAUCAAAGCCACACCAAUGACCGAGCAAAAGGAGGAGAUGAUCGAUCAUGAAGAAUACUGUAUAUUGUUUUAGUUGUAGGCAUCAGGGUUGCCCAAAAGGUAAAUCUCAAUAAUCUUGAACAGACCAGCGGCUCUUUCUUUUCCAGCCUUGACAUGCUCUUCCUUGAUCUCAACCUCACCUUUGCAAUGGUAGUUGCUGGUGCUCUUGAUGAUGGAACCUCCAUCUGCAGAUGCGACCAACUUAAUCUCGUACGAGAUCUUCUCAACCUUGUCUCCAAUAGCAUCCCCUUCAAUCAUACUGUAGUUGUACACAAAGUUGUCUUUGUCAAGUCCAUCAAUCUGGUGCUUCACAUAGCUGUAUUCGCUUCCUUCACCGAGGUGGAUCUUCUUGAUGGUUCCAACACCUCCGUCACCUUGAACGAUUUCAGCGCUCUUCACAGCCUGUGGAGCAAUCUUGGGGAUGAGGUUAUCGGCAUCAAGAACAAAGGCCUUGAACAAUCUUGGUGGUGGGAUUACAGAUGUGAACUCUGUCUCGUAAGUGAAAACACCCAUUAUGACAAUGUAGAAGAGCUGAAGGGAAAAAAAAAAUGAUCAGAGAAGGAAUAGAAUGUUCAGGAAUUAAUGCUGAUAAGAGAGAACUGGUAUUAGGGAUGAGGAAGUGUGAGGGCUAGAGGAGGUAUUUAUAGAUGUGAGGGUGAAGAUCAGACGUACAGUUUAUACAUGCAAGAGGAUUAUUCAAACAAUGUUUCAAUGUGAAAAUGAAUUUACAAUAUUCAACUUAAAUGAACCUCUUUUUUUUUUUUUUAGUCUAAGAAGCCGUCUCGAUUAUUCGUGGCUCGGAAGACUUUGAAAAACCCAACUGCCGCCACAAUCCAAAAUCCGAAACUAAUUGUUUACCUCAGUUUCUUUGUAUCACGAGGUCCAUUACAUUCCUACGUACAUACGUUCCCUAUUUCAUAAAUUUAGUCACUCAUGCAACUUUCGUUAUUGUUUUUUAUUGAGGAAAAUAAAUAACUAAAUAGAGGUGCCUCGAACGCACCAAAUGUUCAUACAAUCAAGUGAUAAGGCUAAAAAAGCCUCUGGGGGAACAUUCUCCACCCAAAGACCGCACCUAUCAAAUCUAUGGCCCAUAUUAGCAAAUUGGCAACAAAGUUAGCUUCUCUGAAAACAUGUGAGAAGCGAAUGGACUCAAAGGAGCAACUCAAACAUUUAAUAUCAUGGUAGAGUUUGAGGAGUCUCCAAGGGGGGUGAGAAACACCAUUAACUACAUCGAUAAUUAGUUUGGAAUCCCCUUCCACUUCAAUCUUUGUCAGGCCUCUCUCCUUUGCACAAAUAAGGCUAUUUCGGAGCGCCAAGGCCUCGGGAACAAGGACAUUGGUGACUCCUGAGUUGAAAGCACCCGCUGCAAUUGGUUGUCCAGAAGUUCUUAAAAUGAAACCUCUUUCGUUAUUUGCUCCGUUAUGUUCGUUGUGAGUUUUGUAUAUAUAUUUCAUACGUUCGUAGAAUCAAUGAAUGAGUCUUUUCUCUUGUAUAUAUACACAUUUUUCCUUGGAAUCUUGGAGGAAAUUAAAUUAUUAUUAUUAGGUUAAUACAAAUGCUACAUGUAGCUACAGUUGAAAGAUGAAACCAUAAAAGGAAGCAUCAAUGCACUCUUUAACAAUAAAAUCAUAUGUUGCUACAAGUUUUAUUUACAAGUUUUUACAAACACAAAUAAUACAACAUGCUCCACAACAACCGAUUCUGAUUAGUUCACAAGAACGACACCAUUUAUCGGUGGAGACUAGCAUUGGUCACAAUAUAAGGGUUACACACCAUCGCGCUUUUUCCUUUUCCUUCUUAAUGUCUGGGUAUGCUUAUUUACUGAUCAAUGAAAUGUCAUAUUGUUUCAAAAAGAAAAGAAAAAAAAAUGUACUACGUUAUCUUUAAUUUAUUUCGUUGUUCCAUGACUUUCAUCCAAUGAAAAGUCUCGACCUGAAAGAAGCUACAACGCACUAUAUAUUCAUGUUUGAAGAUUGGGAGUGCUCGAUCAAAUGAGUUUUGCUUUUUUUAUUUUUAUUGAGAUAGAUAUUACAACACAAUUAGAAAAGAAAAGGAGAAAAAGAAAUGCAUGCAGUACGUGGUACAAUUUAUUAGAUAGUUUUUAGUCUUUUAAACUUCAAUUGUAUGCCUCAGGGUUGGCCAAAAGGUGGUUCUCAAUGAUCUUGAACAAGCCAGCGGCUCUUUCUUUUCCGGCCUUGACAUGCUCUUCCUUGAUCUCAACCUCUCCUUUGCAAUGGUAGUGGCUGGUGCUCUUGAUGAUGGAGCCUCCACUUGGAGAUGCCACCAACUUAAUCUCGUAAGAGAUUUUCUCAACCUUGUCUCCGAUAGCAUCACCUUCAAUGAUGCUGUAGUAGUAAACAUAGUUGUCUUUGUCAAGUCCAUCAAUCUGGUGUUUCACGUAGCUGUACUCGCUUCCUUCACCGAGGUGAAUCUUCUUGAUGGUUCCGACGCCUCCGUCACCUUGAACGAUUUCGGCACUCUUCACUGCCUGUGGGGCAAUCUUGGGGAUGAGGUUGUCAGCAUCGAGAACAAAUGCCUUGUAGAGUCUUGGUGGUGGGAUGACGGAGGUGAACUCGGUUUCGUAUGUGAACACACCCAUGUUGAUGAUAUGAGAACUUAGAAAUUGAUCAAAGAACUGAAGUGCAGAAGAAAGAUGAUGAGAGAACUGGUAUUGGUGUGAGUAAAAUGAGAGAGCCGGGUUGGAGGUGGUAUUUAUAGUGGAGGAUGAAGCUCACUGCUGUUGUAGAUCAAACAGUUUAGACAAGUGAAACUUUCAAAGAGUACAUAUUAAUUUCGGUGUGAAAUGAGUUUCAUUCAAUUCAAUGAAUUGUUGUUUAAACUUGAAAGUCUAAGAAGCUAGCCGUCUUCCGUAGUACGUUGAUUUGAGGUCGACUGAGAAAAACCAAAUUGAAGUAUGAGUAGGAACUUGUACUUAACGAUAUACAUAAUCCUAAUGUGGAAAAUCAGCAUUGAUCCGUUUCAACAUUAUAUUACAUCAAUUCUAAAUCAAAACAUCACUUCCCCAUCAAGAUUGCAGACAAUGGGCAAAGAACCCAACAAAAUAAAAAAUGUAAUAGCUAGCCAAUGUUGACCGGAUCGGCUAUGCCAUUGUUGAUGCUGACUGCAAAUAAAGCUAUAUAUUGAAAAUUCAAAAAUGGUGUAGAAGAAGACCAUCUAGAACCAGACCCAUUUUUGGUCAUCUAAUACUACUAUACCAUCCAUAUACCAGGUGACUAGAUAAGGGUAGCGUACAUAGCUUUCUCUUACCUUCCAGACUAUGCCAUUUGAUUUUCUGGUAGUAGAGUAUCGGUAAAUCAAUUCUGCAGUACAUUAGUUUAAGUUACUGCUCGUAGUAAGGAGAAGUUGUUUACCAUUUCAGAAGUUGGUUUCUUAUUGUAUCGAGCUAAUUUAUAUAUACAACAUUAGUUUAUCGAGCUAAUUUUCACUUUUGUUAGUCUGGCUUUACGUCAUGUUGUUCAUUUGUUUUUUGUUGAUUAAGGAGUGGUAUAUGUUCAGCCACACUCCUCUGUUUAUUCAUGCGGAAAAAAAAAAAAAAAAAACCUUUGUGAUGACAAAAUUUUAUUACCUUCGGGCUAGGAUAUGCAGAAACUGUAGUUGUUUCAGACCAAUUUAAGAGCCAAAGUUCUGUGAAAUUCUAAGCAGUGUGAACUUCCGGGGCUGAAUUUCUCGAUAGGAAAUAGGGCUUUAUAAACACUUCUUGUCGUGGUAAUCGUCUUGUACCCAGAUGUUAGUUAGGUUCAUCAAUUCAUGCGGGUCAUAGUCAAUGAUAUGGUCUUCUAGUCGCUCUGUUUCUUGUUGUUUUUUCUUUUCGUCAGCAGUUAAGUUUGUUGUCAUCUUCUAGUUGGUUGUAUUCUUUUAUCCUUCUCUAGAUAAAUCAUAACAAAGGCAUGUAACCAGUUUCUCUGUUUUUUUGACAUAAUUUUUGUAUUGUCAUCACUCAUCACUUAGCACACUAUGUUCUGCAGGAACAAAUAUAUCCUGGAGUUCUUAACAAAUCUAGUUUACAAAGUAGAACCGGCUCUGUAGAAUUCUCAAUUUGUAGAUCAGUUCAGUAUUCAGAUUCAAAGAACUGGCAAAACAGUAACUCUUACUUACCAAAUGAUAUUUCGUUUAUUUAUUUAGAAUCAAAUCCACCAUUAUUGCAUUACAAUUUGCCACACAUAAACCGAAGUGCAAGCCAAAACAAACUCAGACAAGAAGAGGAAAAAAUAGCAAAGCCACACCAAUGACAGAAUCAAAGAGCAGGACACAACACUAUUAUUGUCCAUAGUAGCGCUCAAUACUACUACCAUAGAGACAGCAAGGUUUAGUUGUAUUCCUCGGGGUGGGCCAAAAGGUAGCUCUCGACGAGCUUGAACAGACCAGCGGCUCUUUCUUUUCCGGCCUUGACGUGCUCCUCCUUGAUCUCAACCUCACCCUUGCAAUGGUAGUGGCUGGUGCUCUUGAUGAUGGAUCCUCCCUCGGAUGCAAUCAACUUAAUCUCAUAGGAGAUCUUCUCGACCUUGUCUCCGAUGGCAUCUCCCUCAAUGAUACUGUAGUUGUACACAUAGUUGUCCUUGUCAAGUCCAUCGAUCUUGUGCUUUACGUAGCUGUAUUCACUUCCUGCAUAAAAUGAGUUCAUGAAUUAGAUGGAUGGUUACAAAAACUUGAGACACUUUUUUUCUUUGUAAUGUACAUAUGAGCAAAAAUAUAACAAGGCUGUAGAAAUUGAAGUCAAUGAUGCAAAUUGAACUAACCUUCACCAAGGUGGAUCUUCUUGAUGGUUCCAACUCCUCCAUCACCUUCACAAAUUUCAGCACUCUUCACUGCCUGAGGGGCAAUCUUGGGGAUGAGGUUGUCGGCAUCAAGGACGAAAGCCUUGUACAAUUUGGCUGGUGGGAUGACUGAGGUGAACUCGGUUUCAUAUGUGAACACACCCAUGACGACGAUUAAAGAGCUAAAAGGGAAAUGAUCAGAGAAAGAAUGAAUUGUGGAGGAGGCUAAGAGUGAAUAUAUUGGUAUUGGUGUGAGGAAGUGUGAGGGUUGGAGGUGGUAUUUAUAGAUAGCUAGAGAGGCUGAAGCACACCCUGCAGAUCAAGGCUUGAAUUUAAACAAGGGACUUUUCAAAGAAUUCUUAUGUGGAUGUGAAAUGGACGUUCAAAUUUUCAAUUCUAUGGAUCAUUGUUUUAGUCUAGGAAGCCGGCUUCAAUUGUUGAUUUGUGAAAGCAAUUUGUCAUCUAAUAUUUAUCAUACUAUUAUAUAGAAGACUUUGAACUAAAAGUACUUGGACUUGAUAACAGAUAUGUAAUCCCAACAUGGAAAAUGACUAUCUUUAACUCUGCCACAGCUAGAUUAUGUAAUUCUAUACUUGGACACAAAUAAAUCAGCAGGUGUAGUCAUAUAUAUUAUGUUACAGACUGAUAAAAGUCUUUCAGAAGCAAAUUUGCCUAGUAUAGAGGACUCUUGGUUUGGCGAAGACAAUGAUACAUAUUCCUGUCGCAAGCAAAAUAAGAUGCACAUUGACAAGGAUAAAUAUCAAGGCGGUCCUAGCUAGUUCUGUGAACCUUCUCUCCAAGUUCAUAAUAAUCAUUGGUCCGCUUAAUAAUUGAGUUUUACUUUAGAUAUAUGCUGAUCUGUAUUGCCUGAACAUGUUCUGAUAAACAUUGAAGGCUUUACUAAAUAAGGUAUGAUCAGUUUGUCGUCGGAUAAACAAUGACGAAAUUCAACACCAGUCAAUAAAAAAAAAGAUGUCAUCUGUAAGGUACUGAUACUGGUUUUAAAAAAAAUGGGGUGAAUCAUGAUCAGAAAAAUUUACUUCUGCACUUGAAAUAAAUCAUUCCAGUACAAAUUAAAUCACUAUCUUUGGCAUACAUGAGAAGAUUUCUUGAACAAAUUUCUCUGUUCCCUGCUAACAUAGGGUCUCAGGGAGACAUUUCCAACCUCACUACGUCCUUUCAGUAUGGUUGUGAACUGGAUUUUUGCAAGUCAAUUCAGGCCAAAACAAAAGUAGGUGCAGCAUCAAGACAAUAAGGUCAGUCUUAAACCAAAGAAAAAUGAAAUAGCCAAUCUUGACUGGCAUCUAGUUUCAGUAACCUGCCAAUGAAGCUAGCUCUUGAUAAUAAGACCAUCUAGAAGCUUUAAAAAAAAAAAAAAAGACCAUCUAGAAGCCAACACUCUUUUUCCUAAUACAAGUGGGGUUUCAGAUAGGGUGCUUUCUUUGACCGUCUUGGCCAAUACAAAAGAGUAGUACGAUUUAUACCUACAAGGACACUUAUCAGUCAUACUCAUACCAGCUAGGAAGCUAUAGGUGACCUUCAAGGCUUCAACCUUGUAUCUUGUCUAAUCACUCUAUAAAUAUCAGUGAUAGCAUUCUAUUUUCUCACAACUCAAAGCAUUACUCUUUCUUUGAUCAUCUUUCCAGUUUCAAGCAACCUAAAAACUGAAAAUGGGUGUGUUCACUUAUGAAACCGAGUUUACAUCUGUCAUCCCACCACCAAGAUUGUUCAAGGCUUUCAUCCUUGAUGCCGAUAACCUCAUCCCAAAGAUUGCUCCACAAGCAGUUAAGUGUGCUGAAAUCAUUGAAGGAGAUGGAGGCGUAGGCACCAUCAAGAAGAUCACCUUCGGUGAAGGCAGCCAGUUCGGCUCAGUGACCCACAAGAUCGAUGGGAUUGACAAAGAGAACUUUGUGUACAGCUACAGUUUGGUCGAAGGAGAUGCCUUGUCCGACAAGAUUGAGAAGAUCUCUUACGUGACCAAAUUGGUGGCGUCUUCCGAUGGAGGAUCCAUCAUCAAGAGCACCAGUAACUACCACACCAAAGGUGACGUGGAGAUCAAGGAAGAGCAUGUUAAGGCCGGAAAAGAGAAGGCGUCCCACCUCUUCAAGCUUGUUGAAGGCUACCUCUUGGCCAAUCCUAAUGAAUACUGUUAAACUUGAUUGUUAUCUGUCACUUUUCCCUUUGUUUUGCUGAUGUUCCAGUUGGAACAUUAGGAAAUUGAAUGCUGUAAUGUUUUCUAUUGAAUAAACAAUCUGUAAUCACAAUUUGCAUUACAUUGUUCAAUUUCUCCCUACUAAUUAAGCUAAACUAUCAAAUUGCUGCUAUAAAAAUAUAUCCACACAGAUGGUCAAGAAACAUCCUAAGAAGGUGGUUCACCUAUCAUUAUUCAAAACAAGAAAUGUCACAAUAUAUAGCCUCUUUGUUUCAGAAAUGAGUCGUUGAGACUUCGGAGUAUUUAGGCCGGUUAGUGAUAGAGGUUGCACUGGUAAAACUCUAAACAGUGACGGCAAACUUGUUCUCCAAACAAUUUGCUGAAAAGUUGAACUCAUUAUCAGUAUAAGUCUUUGAUAAUGACUGAUUGUUGUAGUGAUUGAGUCUUUCUUUCCUUACCUUUCUAUAAAGAAUCGGCCUUUCCCAAUCAAAAUAAUUAUGAUAUUAUGAAAAAAAAAACUGUUUCAUGUCCACAUCUACGACAGAUUAACCAACUGUAAUAGAACAAUACUGUUAUGUUAUGUUAAAAAUAAUUCACAAUUACUGAAGACUUUGGACAGUCACUAACCAGAUAACUCUCUACCAGAUCAUAUACUCCACUUCAUUCAGGGUCCAAUUGACUCCCCGUCGUGCUGGUAUUUGUGUCCCUUUCAUCAUGAUUUUCUUGGAAAGACUGGAACUACUCAAAUAAAGUUCUCACGUUGGUUAAAAAUGCAAUGAAUGGAACAUUUCUAACCAAUCAGUCUGCACGCAGAAAUAGCUAUUGGAUUUCUUACAGCGACAGACUUACAUGCCAAGCAUCGAAAAAUAGAAGGUAAAAAACUCUGCACGCUGUAUUAGUAUAAAGAGGAACAUACGUUUUAUUCUUUACUUUUUAAACGAAAUCCAAUGUGACAUUACAAUUUACCAUAACUCGAAGUGCAAGCCAAAACAAUCCCAGGCUUGGUAGGAAAGGAAAGGGAAAAAAUAUCAAAGCGACACCAAAUGACAAAACAAACAGGACACAACAGAAUAUUAUAAUGCAGUAGCAUUAUCAUAGUUCGAUUUAGUUGUAGGCCUCGGGGUUGGCCAAAAGAUGGUUCUCAAUGAUCUUGAACAAACCAGCGGCCCUUUCUUUUCCGGCCUUGACAUGCUCUUCCUUGAUCUCAACCUCACCCUUGCAAUGGUAGUGGCUUGUGCUCUUGAUGAUGGAGCCUCCACUUGGAGAUGCCACCAACUUGAUCUCGUACGAGAUUUUCUCAACCUUGUCUCCAAUAGCAUCACCUUCAAUGAUGCUGUAGUUGUAAACAAAGUUGUCUUUGUCAAGUCCAUCAAUCUGGUGUUUCACGUAGCUGUACUCGCUUCCUUCACCGAGGUGAAUCUUCUUGAUGGUUCCUACACCUCCAUCACCUUGAACGAUUUCGGCACUCUUCACAGCCUGUGGCGCAAUCUUGGGGAUGAGGUUAUCAGCAUCAAGAACAAAGGCCUUGUAGAGUCUUGGUGGUGGGAUGACAGAGGUGAACUCGGUUUCAUAAGUGAACACACCCAUGAUGAGGAAUAAAAAGCUUAAAAUGAGGAGAUUGAAAUGUGGAAGAAGCUAAGAGAAUAUUGAUA